rnacentral:rRNA from 1 species
GACGAACGCUGGCGGCGUGCCUAAUACAUGCAAGUUGAGCGCUGAAGGUUGGUACUUGUACCAACUGGAUGAGCAGCGAACGGGUGAGUAACGCGUGGGGAAUCUGCCUUUGAGCGGGGGACAACAUUUGGAAACGAAUGCUAAUACCGCAUAAAAACUUUAAACACAAGUUUUAAGUUUGAAAGAUGCAAUUGCAUCACUCAAAGAUGAUCCCGCGUUGUAUUAGCUAGUUGGUGAGGUAAAGGCUCACCAAGGCGAUGAUACAUAGCCGACCUGAGAGGGUGAUCGGCCACAUUGGGACUGAGACACGGCCCAAACUCCUACGGGAGGCAGCAGUAGGGAAUCUUCGGCAAUAGACGAAAGGCUGACCGAGCAACGCCGCGUGAGUGAAGAAGGUUUUCGGAUCGUAAAACUCUGUUGGUAGAGAAGAACGUUGGUGAGAGUGGAAAGCUCAUCAAGUGACGGUAACUACCCAGAAAGGGACGGCUAACUACGUG